GAUGAACGCUGGCGGCGUGCUUAACACAUGCAAGUCGAACGAGCACUUACAAUUGAUUCUUCGGAUGAAAGAGUUUGUGACUGAGUGGCGGACGGGUGAGUAACGCGUGGGUAACCUGCCUCAUACAGGGGGAGUAACAGUUAGAAAUAGACUGCUAAUACCGCAUAAGCGCACAGUAUCGCAUGAUACCGUGGUAGAAAACUCCGGUGGUAUGAGAUGGACCCGCGUCUGAUUAGCUAGUUGGUGGGGUAACGGCCUACCAAGGCAACGAUCAGUAGCCGGCCUGAGAGGGUGAACGGCCACAUUGGGACUGAGACACGGCCCAA
rnacentral:rRNA from 1 species